rnacentral:rRNA from 1 species
AAACUUGGAAACUAGAGUUCGGUAGGGGUAGCAGGAAUUCCCAGUGUAGCGGUGAAAUGCGUAGAUAUUGGGAAGAACAUCGGUGGCGAAGGCGUGCUACUGGACCGUAACUGACACUCAGGGACGAAAGCUAGGGGAGCGAAAGGGAUUAGAUACCCCUGUAGUCCUAGCUGUAAACGAUGGAAACUAGGUGUGGCUUGUAUCGACCCGAGCCGUGCCGUAGCUAACGCGUUAAGUUUCCCGCCUGGGGAGUACGCACGCAAGUGUGAAACUCAAAGGAAUUGACGGGGGCCCGCACAAGCGGUGGAGUAUGUGGUUUAAUUCGAUGCAACGCGAAGAACCUUACCAGGGCUUGACAUGUCGCGAAUCUCGGUGAAAGCUGAGAGUGCCUUCGGGAGCGCGAACACAGGUGGUGCAUGGCUGUCGUCAGCUCGUGUCGUGAGAUGUUGGGUUAAGUCCCGCAACGAGCGCAACCCUUAUUUUUAGUUGCCAGCAUUAAGAUGGGCACUCUAGAAAGACUGCCGGUGACAAACCGGAGGAAGGUGAGGACGACGUCAAGUCAGCAUGCCCCUUACGCCCUGGGCUACACACGUACUACAAUGGUUGGGACAAAGGGCAGCGACUCCGCAAGGAAUAGCGAAUCUCAUCAAACCCAGCCUCAGUUCAGAUUGCAGGCUGCAACUCGCCUGCAUGAAGGAGGAAUCGCUAGUAAUCGCAGGUCAGCAUACUGCGGUGAAUUCGUUCCCGGGCCUUGUACACACCGCCCGUCACACCAUGGAAGCUGGUCACGCCCGAAGUAGUUACCCUAACCUUUCGAGGAGGGGGAUUCCUAAGGCAGGGCUAGUGACUGGGGUGAAGUCGUAACAAGGUAGCC